rnacentral:rRNA from 1 species
CCUACGGGAGGCAGCAGUGAGGAAUAUUGGUCAAUGGACGCAAGUCUGAACUAGCCAUGCCGCGUGAAGGAAGACGGCUCUAUGAGUUGUAAACUGCUUUUGUACGAGGGUAAACGCAGAUACGCGUAUCUGUCUGAAAGUAUCGUACGAAUAAGGAUCGGCUAACUCCGUGCCAGCAGCCGCGGUAAUACGGAGGAUUCAAGCGUUAUCCGGAUUUAUUGGGUUUAAAGGGUGCGUAGGCGGGUGGAUAAGUCAGUGGUGAAAUCCCGAGGCUCAACUUCGGAAUUGCCAUUGAUACUGUCCGGCUAGAGAGCAGUUGCGGUAGGCGGAAUGUAUGGUGUAGCGGUGAAAUGCUUAGAGAUCAUACAGAACACCGAUUGCGAAGGCAGCUUACCAAGCUACUUCUGACGUUGAUGCACGAAAGCGUGGGUAGCAAACAGGAUUAGAUACCCCAGUAGUC